AAAGAGCAUUUAAAGGGCUGUGGAAUCGAAGACCAGUGGCAGACAUGGGCCUGAUUCUCACUCCUCCAACUUCUCUUUCCAGCAAACCAUACCUUUUCUGCAAUUAUAGCUCAUCAUGGCAGAUGAAUGAAACUGAUAAAGGCAACGCUCUCCUGCCAACCUCACCAUAUUUGGAUGCAGCAUCUCAUCCUUCCAUCUCACCUGUCCAGCCAGAAAUGGCAAGUGACACAGUUCAGCGAGAAAAGACAUUUCUCUUCCUCCUGCUGAAAAGAUGCUUGGGCUGUGAGACCAUUCCUGUGGCCAUGAAGGAAACCUCCAAAGAAUCAGAGAACUUGCUGCUAGCAUUGCUGGGUGUCUGAAUCAGUGCCAACAACAACCAACUACGUGUUUUGCAUCUUCUAUGAAAAACAACCCCCUUUACAAUAAAGACAUUGAAUUCAGGCUUUCUAACACAUAACAGCCAAAAGCAUACCUGGCUGAUACAUUUAUAGACUACAUUGCUCUUGAGACUGCCUGAGAGACACCUGUCUGCAGCGCUCAUGUAUACCCAUUACCACUGGUUCCUGUUUUCUUUUCCCAGGGUAUAACGAGUUCCUUGGUGUGCUCAUGUUUCUAUUUUCAGUCUUCCACAUCUCCUUGCAUAAGUCAAAACUUGGGAAUAUCCAGGGAGCCUUUCCUUCCAGCUCUUCCCCAUUCCUUCUUUACGCUCCCAAGUGCUAAUCUCACUUCCAGCUAUUCAUGCUGCAGGCUUUUCAUUUCUUCCCUUCCAAGCAGCCACAUUCUGGG
rnacentral:lncRNA from 1 species